AGUUAACCGGGUGGCCGCGGGCUUAAGGGCCCGAGGAAAGUCCGAGCUCCACAGGGCAGGGUGCUGGGUAACGCCCAGUGAGGGCGACCUCAAGGAAAGUGCCACAGAAAUCAAACCGCCGCCCGUCGGGCGGUAAGGGUGAAACGGUGAGGUAAGAGCUCACCAGCGGCCUGGCGACAGGUCGGCUAGGUAAACCCCACCUGGAGCAAGAUCGAAUAGGAGGAGGAUGACGUGGCCCGCUGACUCCUCGGGUUUGAUCGCUUGAGGCGUCAGGCAACUGGCGUCCUAGAUUGAUGGCCACCACGCCGCACAAGCGGUUUGACAGAACUCGGCUUACAGGUUAACUU
rnacentral:RNase_P_RNA from 1 species